CAAAGGCUUGGUCCUGACUUUAUUAUCAACUUUAGCUAAACUUACACAUGCAAGUAUCCGCAUACCCGUGAGAAUGCCCCACAGUCCCCUGCCCGGGGACAAGGAGCUGGUAUCAGGCACAUUCUAUUUGAGCCCAUGACACCUUGCUUAGCCACACCCUCAAGGGAACUCAGCAGUGAUAAACAUUAAGCCAUAAGUGAAAACUUGACUUAGUUAAAGCUAAGAGGGCCGGUAAAACUCGUGCCAGCCACCGCGGUUAUACGAGAGGCCCAAGUUGACAAACCCCGGCGUAAAGAGUGGUUAAGGGAAAUUUAAAACUAAAGCCGAAUGCCCCCAAAGCUGUUAUACGCACCCGAGGGUAAGAAGCCCAAUCACGAAAGUGGCUUUACACUACCUGAACCCACGAAAGCUAUGAAACAAACUGGGAUUAGAUACCCCACUAUGCCUAGCCUUAAACAUCGAUAGCAACUUACACCUGCUAUCCGCCUGGGAACUACGAGCACCAGCUUGAAACCCAAAGGACUUGGCGGUGCUUUAGAUCCACCUAGAGGAGCCUGUUCUAGAACCGAUAACCCCCGUUCAACCUCACCUUUCCUUGUUUUUCCCGCCUAUAUACCACCGUCGUCAGCUUACCCUGUGAAGGCCUAAUAGUAAGCAAAAUUGGCAUAGCCCAAAACGUCAGGUCGAGGUGUAGCGUAUGGAAGGGGAAGAAAUGGGCUACAUUCCCUUAUCCAGGGAAUACGAACGAUAAACUGAAAUGUUCAUCCAAAGGAGGAUUUAGCAGUAAGUAGAAAAUAGAGUGUCCUACUGAAAAUGGCCCUGAAGCGCGCACACACCGCCCGUCACUCUCCCCAAGCCCAAGAACUUUGAUAACUAAAAUCCCAUAAUCGCAAAGGGGAGGCAAGUCGUAACAUGGUAAGUGUACCGGAAGGUGCACUUGGUUAAAU
rnacentral:ncRNA from 1 species